CAGUAGCCACGGGAAUACGUAGGUGGCAAGCGUUGUCCGGAAUUAUUGGGCGUAAAGGGCUCGCAGGCGGUUUCUUAAGUCUGAUGUGAAAGCCCCCGGCUCAACCGGGGAGGGUCAUUGGAAACUGGGAAACUUGAGUGCAGAAGAGGAGAGUGGAAUUCCACGUGUAGCGGUGAAAUGCGUAGAGAUGUGGAGGAACACCAGUGGCGAAGGCGACUCUCUGGUCUGUAACUGACGCUGAGGAGCGAAAGCGUGGGAAGCGAACAGGAUUAGAUACCCCCGUAGUCCCUGUCUCUUAUAC
rnacentral:rRNA from 1 species